CUCUGAUACCACUGUUAGAAAAUUACUACGGUUUCGUACGUAAAGUUCAAAAUUUUUUUCUAAAGAUCUAUGCAACGAAAAUAAAUAAAUUAAAAUAUUUUUAAUUUAUUUACCUACCAGAUCUAAUCUAAAAAUCGAAGCAAAGAUUUUGAUAUGAAUAUAUAACCAUGAUCUAAAAUCUAAAAUAAAAAAAUAAAUAAUUAAAAAAAUCAAAUGG
rnacentral:lncRNA from 1 species